rnacentral:rRNA from 1 species
GGGAUAAGCGCUGAAAGCAUCUAAGCGCGAAGCCCCCCUCAAGAUGAGAUUUCCCACUGUAAAGGUAAGACCCCUGGAAGAUGACCAGGUUGAUAGGUUCGAGGUGGAAGCGCGGCAACGCGUGAAGCUGACGAAUACUAAUCGGUCGAGGGCUUAUCCUAAAUUU